rnacentral:tRNA from 1 species
AGAGUUGAACAUAUCUGUAAAGAGCUGCUAACUACUUAACAAGGCGGUUAAAAUCCGUCUAACUCUC